UUGUGGUAGCCUCCAAAAAUUGGGACAUAUAAAAAAAGACAACUCUAUUCCGCAGAGUAGCUGUUGAUAUUCUAGUUGCUUUGUCCCGAGGUUCUCUAGAGUCAAUAAUCACACAUCCCCGUGAUGGUGACUUUGCAUUCGGAUGUCAUCCAUAUCAACUUUCGAUGCCAGUUUCUGCGCCUACCAUGGUGACCAUGGGUAACGAGGAAUCCGGGUUCCAUUCCAUACAGGGACCCUGAGAAACGGCUACCACAUGCAAGGAAGGCAGCAGGCGCGCAAAUGACCCACUCCCGACACGGGAAGGUAGUGACAA